AUUGAACGCUGGCGGCAGGCCUAACACAUGCAAGUCGAGCGGAGCGGCGGACGGGUGAGUAAUGCCUAGGAAUCUGCAUGGUAGUGGGGGAUAACGUCCGGAAACGGGCGCUAAUACCGCAUACUAUCAGAUGAGCCUAGGUCGGAUUAGCUAGUUGGGGGGGUAAAGGCCUACCAAGGCGACGAUCCGUAACUGGUCUGAGAGGAGGAUCAGUCAACUGGGAACUUGGACACGGUCAAGAUUCCGACGGGAGGCAGCAGUGGGUAAUAUUGGACAAGGGGCGAAAGCCUGAUCCAGCCAUGCCGCGUGGGUGAAGAAGGUCUUCGGAUUGUAAAGCACUUUAAGUUGGGAGGCGUUACCAACAGAAUAAGCACCGGCUAACUUCGUGCCAGCAGUCGCGGUAAUUC
rnacentral:rRNA from 1 species